AUGGGGAACUGCGCGGCGAGGGGGGACACGGCGGUCACGGCGGCCGGCGCGGGCGGCGAGGACGUGAAGAGGCGGCGGAGGAGGUGGAAGGCGCCGCGGGAGGACCAGCUGGGGACGGUCCCCGGGCGGAUCUUCUCCAACGACGGCCGCAGCCGCACCGCCUCCGUCUUCACGCAGCAGGGCCGCAAGGGGAUCAACCAGGACGCCAUGCUCAUCUGGGAUGGGUUCGGCGGGGAGGAGGACGGCGUGCUGUGCGGGGUGUUCGACGGCCACGGGCCGCACGGCCACCUGGUGGCGCGCAGGGUGCGCGACUCGCUGCCGCUCAGGCUCAUGUCCGCCGCGCGCGCCUCGCCCAAGAGCGGGCUGGACAUGCCGGCCGCCGCCUGGAGGAAGGCCUUCACGCGCACCUACAAGGCCAUGGACAAGGACCUCCGCUCCCACCCCGCCCUCGACAGCUUCUGCAGCGGCAGCACCGCCGUCACCGUCCUCAAGCUCGGCACGGACCUUUACAUGGCCAACAUCGGGGACUCGCGCGCCGUCCUAGGCUCCAGAGACGCCGCCGCCGGCGGCGUGGCGGCCGUGCAGCUCACCGUUGACCUCAAGCCCGACGUCCCCAGCGAGGCGGAGCGGAUCAAGAAGUGCAGGGGCAGGGUGUUCGCGCUGCAGGACGAGCCGGAGGUGCCGAGGGUGUGGCUUCCAUUUGACGACGCGCCGGGCCUGGCCAUGGCGCGGGCGUUCGGGGACUUCUGCCUCAAGGACUACGGCGUCAUCUCGGUGCCGGAGUUCUUCCACUGGCCUCUCACGGACAAGGACCAGUUCGUCAUCCUCGCAUCCGACGGGGUCUGGGAUGUCCUAAGCAACCAAGAGGCUGUCGACAUAGUGUCCUCGUCCCCAAGUCGGUCAAAGGCGGCAAGGACUCUUGUCGAGGCAGCUAACCGUGAAUGGAAAACCAAGUAUCCAACAUCCAGGACCGACGACUGCGCGGUCGUUUGCUUAUAUUUGGAUGGCAAAAUGGACCAUGAGCGUGAUUCGACCGCGUCCAUGGAUAACAUCAGCAUUGAGGAUGAUUCAGUCGCUGACCCUAACGAAGCGCAGGAGCAACAGGAGCCCGCCUUAACUCGCAAUUUCACAGUUAGGACAGUUCCGGGGAGUGCUCAGGAGAAAGCCUUGGCGGGCGCAGACGCCAAGGUUUCUGGUGGAGCCGAUGAUCACAACUGGUCAGGCCUCGAUGGGGUGACACGGGUGAACUCGCUCGUUCAGCUUCCCAGGUUCUCCGAGGAGAAGGCGAUCAGUUGA
rnacentral:rRNA from 1 species